rnacentral:rRNA from 1 species
UGCUUGACGACCAUAGAGCGUUGGAACCACCUGAUCCCAUCCCGAACUCAGUAGUGAAACGACGCAUCGCCGAUGGUAGUGUGGGGCUUCCCCAUGUGAGAGUAGGUCAUCGUCAAGC